UCGCGGGGAAGACCUUUUCUCCGCCGCCGUUGCUUCCCCCCUCGCUCGGAUCGCGGCGCCGGCACGCGCGAAGCCGGCGGUGGCCGGCGCGCUUCCAGCGAGGUCGAUCCCGAGUGCUCCAGGAGCCCGUGUGAUCGUCCACGUCGUCGCCGGCUUACCCCGAUGGAUCGCCGGUACGCUCUGUUCCAUCUCCUCCCACCCCCCAUGGCCCAUCCCCCCAUGCACACGGCCAAGACCCCACCCAUUGGCAGAUGAUCCCCGCCCGCUAAGGUUCGUUCUCCGUAGCCGCGAUCUGAUCUGGAAUUGCCUGACACGAUUUGAUCCUUUUCAAUCGAUCAACCAUUUGGGAAGCAGGGAGUUCCUAGUUCAGAUCUAUUGGAAAUUUAUCGUAUGCUUAGCUCACUUCAGGCUUAGCAGAUACUCCAAAUGUUGUAACCAAGCUGGUCUUAGAGUUUGCGUCAUGGAGUACUUUGUACUGUUUGGUGACCUGUGGUUGCUUUCCUAGCGCGUCCCCUCUCGAUUAGGAUUGGGAACCUAUGAAUCAUCGGGCAUCUCUGGACGAAACAUCGAAGAUAGGGACGCACCCUUGCCUGAUUCGUGCCGCCCGGAUGUCAUUUGACAGUUCGCUGGUUCCCCCUCAGCAGUCUCCUUAGAGGCAGGAUUAUGAAUGAAUUUCCCCAGCUGCUAUGAUUGCUAUUAGCAUGGAGUCAGAGCAGUGAUUGAUGUUUCUGAUAUUAUUAUGCACAUACACCUAAUUUGUUAACAAGAUCAGAUGUGCUCUUGUCUUGGGUGUGCCUCACAUUUUCCUUUCAUUUGUUCCUAAUGUACCAUUGGGGCGCUCCCGGUGCAUUGCAUAUAAUAGAGGUAUAGAUACAGCUUUCUCAAUGGGUUGUGCCUUUGUGUUGUAUUUACAAGCCUCUAUUGUUGCAUAUGAUCAGAAGUAGCAUAUUGUUUUUGUGGCCAGCCAACUUGUGGAACAUGUGAAAUAGAAUAAAUAGGUUGAACUACUAGCAAGGCUUGCCAAUACACAGUUCUCUGCAAAAAUAAUAGAAAUGAACGCCUGGCAGGUACAACACCUCACCCUAAGUUCACUUAACAUUCAUGGGCAAAUAGAAAAAACUUACUGCUGAAUAAACAUAAGAGGCCAAAAGCAAGCAGAUACUGCAUUUAAAUCCAAAUUUGUACUGUCAUUGCGGUGAGGAACAUGUAAACCUGCAAUGCAAAAGACAGGGAUACACAGAGUGUAUGAAUCAGCUGAGAUUAUCUCUACUGUUGUUAUACGCUGCACAUGUAGCUACGAUAUCAUUUAACGGUAGUAUCACAUAAACUUGCUUCUAGUGUUUGUCCGAAAGCUGCUCCAUGUCCCCGACUGCCAGCCAUACCUGAACAAAAGUAACACCUUAAUCUCAGCGCACAUCACCGGAGACGGAAAACUAUGGUGCUCAAGAUGAGCAGGCAGUGCCGCACCCUCACUGGCGAAAGAACCCUGACCGGUGUUGGAGCAGCCCGUUCAGAUCCGCUGGAGGGCAGCAACCUCCGACGCCAGAGCAGGAUGCUAUCUGAGGGCAGCGGUGGUGUCUCCCCUGUCGGUUGCCACAACAGAAAGAAACUAGACAGAGAACACAAUCGCUGAAAUUGUACGGGAGCAGGGGCAAGGUUAGAGGAAGAAAGAUGGCAAACGGGAGCUUUGUUUUGGAGGUAGAGGCGCAGGGGAUGCAUCCAGCACUAAAUUGGCCCACAUAGGCAUCGUUUUUUCCCCCAUUUAGUAGUAUCUCUUUUAAAAUACGGGUUCCCCCUCUCUCUUCUUUAAUUAAUCUUCCGCAUCAUAUUCAGUCUUAUGUGGCAUCGUCGAGAUACUGACAGUGGAAGCAAUGGAAGUGCUCUUAGCAUGCAUUUCCUAGAUACAGAAGUCUGUGUACAGUACAAUAUUGUUAGUAAAGCCACCAUUUAGGAGUUAAUAAUAAAUCACCCAUAACUGUAUAUAUUGCAUAUUUGGAAAAUCUGCCGUGCUGUGGUUAUCAUUCUACAGAUGAGAUGGCAGUGCAGACUACCCCACUGAACAUGUCUUAGGGUUUACUUUACAACCCUCUGUUUUGGUUCCUAGUUUCACCCACAAACUCUAAAACCCGUUUGCAAUAACAACCUUCACACGAAUUAACCGAUUUAACCAGUUCUAUAGAUGUAUCAGUCAAGUGUGCUUCCCCUACUUACUGAUAAUUUGAUGUCAGUUCUGAUUUACCAUACCUUUGUUUCAGUCUUUGAUGUUACUGAUACUAGUUAUGUGUGUGCCUUAACCUUAUCCUUUGUCUCUGGUGCCCUGCCCUCUUUGAAGCUAGGACAUGGAUGUGGGUACCCCUAUGUAUCAAAAAUUGUGUAUGGAAACCAAGAAUGGUCAUAUAGCGAAGUGGAUAUCGCGUUAGAUUCCGAAUCUAUAGGUCGUGGGUUCGAAUCCCACUAUGAUCAAUUUUGUCUUGGGUUUUUGCACAGGAAAUUUCGCCUUGGCCUUUUGUUUUGUUUCUUGUGUUUUUCAGCAGACAGUGACAUAGUGGCAGCGCCCACAAGGUAUUCAAGGUUCUUGUGAACAUGAUUGGUCCCAAGGCCCCAGCUUCCUGCCAAGAGUAUUGUCACAGAGUGCAGAAUUUCGCCGGUGCUCAUGCAUCCCUAUCAGCCAUUUUUACCCCAAAUGGCUUAUCCAUUUGCUUCAUGUAACCCUUUGGUGACUGUUGCUGUAAAUGUAAUUUGUCCUACUUGUUGGGGAUGUGACCAUUCCAUCCCAGGGAAGACUUGGUUGGCAAUUGGCCAUCAUUAUCCAGAACACGCGGUCAAGAUGUUGUUGUUUAUGAAGUUGAUUUUGUGUAUUUCAUGUAGUACAGAGAUUGGAUUGGUUUUAGCACAGUUAAGUCGAACAUUUUCCAUAGAAUAAGUUGUACAUAAUAUCCAGUUAUCUUGCAG
rnacentral:tRNA from 1 species